CAGUAACAGUAACAUUACGCAAGAGGACUCACCUUUUUUCGUCGACGUCGAGUCUUUAGGACUCUUGUGCGGAGCCCGUGAUGCUGCUGCUUCGGUGCGAUUCCCCACCGCAACGUAAUACGGCCGCUUUCGGAUCUGAAACGGAAUUAAAUACACGAGGUGAGUUAUUAUUAUUAUUAUUAUUAUUUUUCAUUCCACUCGCUGCAUAUUUUAUUAUAAUUAUAAACCGCGGAGACGGCGGUAAUAUUAUUAUACGGCUUAUAAUAUUAUAUUAGGUUUUAUUUUAAUUUAAACGGAAAAAAUCGCUUUAACGGCUGCGCGGGCGAAAUUUAUAAAAUAAAUUAACAAAUACGUAAAAUACAAAACGCGUUUAAUUUGUAUUUUCGAAAUCUCUUCGGAGACUGGCUGCGAGUAAAUUAUUAUACGAUGUGCCGGGCGCCACGUAAUUGAGUUUUCACCUAAUGGCCUAAGACGGAUUCAUUAAUUUUUUUGUUUUUAAUUUUUAAUUUUCUCGUAUUCCGCGAGACGAAUUUUCCGUCUGUGUAUAUAGCAUUAGAUGUAUGUAUGAUUUUGAUGUGGUUUUCAACAAAAUGUUAUUCGAUCUGCAGUUUUCGAGAAAGUUUUAUAUACGCGGCUACUUAAUUAUUACCCCGGAAUUCAGCUUCCCUAUUAUAAGUUGUGUUUAACAUUUUGAUUUAUAAUUAUAUUUGUUUUAUUAUUUUUUUUUUUUUUUUGGGUUUCCUCGUAGCGACACGGUCGAAAUAUCAAACGGUUACCUACUAUUAUUAACUUAAAAAAAAAAAAAACUGGAAUUAAAUUGGCACACGCAACGCUAGACGGCCGGACAACUAUAGUGAACAUCGACAACGUCGUUAAGCGCUUGAAUGGGGGGGGGGUCAACAGACAGAGUAAUUUUAUUUUUUCUAAAAAUACUCUAGCGUCGGAUUUUUCAUAAUGGUCUUAGAAUUGGUGUAGACAAUUAUUAUCGAUGCAACCCUCUAUCGAGUGAACAAAUGUUUUGCUGAAUCUCAAUAUACUAAAUUUAUCGAGUUUCAAAAAGUUUUUUACCCAUUUUUAUUUUUAUUGAUAAUAAUUUUUUUCGAUGAUAAAAAUAUAUCGUUCUUAUCAUGUUUAGGUAGUAAUAGAAUACCAAAAAAUCGUUUUGCAAAAUGUAAUCAUUGUUAUUGUAUCGCCGACGUAUACGUAUCUAAUUUAAAUUUUCAACAAUGAGAGGGGGCGAAGUCGUUCCCCAAGCACGCCCCCAAUCUUCUGCCCCGAAUGGAUAUUAUAUGAACUAGUACGGACGUAAAAACAAUUAUAAACCUUAUGGUACGCACAUUUUUGUACGCUUUUGCUCAGUGGCGCGGGAAGAUGAAAGGAUAACCUUUUUCAGACACCCCAUAAGGGAGGCUAAAUUCCCAUUGUCGGGUUAGGCGUGACAGAAGAAUUUAUUCUACGAUUUGUUUGCGAAUUACGAUUAUUAUUCACUAUACGUCUCCUCACGUUGGAAACUCCCGGGCACGCCGCGCUGCAUUUGCGUCCCCUUUUUAAUUUGAUUUCCGACACGAUUCGACCGCCGGUCGUAACAAUACCGUACACGAAACUGACCAAACAUAGUAUGCUAUACUGUUAUGUAUAGUGUUCGAUUGUUUUUAAUUUUUUUUUUUCCAAUUUCCGAAUACCUUCGGAGUACCACCCACCACGCGCGCGUGUACGGAAAUAUCGCAACGCCGGUGAUUCGUUCGGGGUUGUCCGCGGUCGUCCGCCGGGGAUGAUCUAUAGACGCGCGCGAAACUAUAAAACGUGCGGCCCAUUAACGAACCGUGAAAUUUGUUUUCAACACUCGCCGAGGUAUUAUAAUACGAUCGUCGCGGGGGCACUGCGCAAUGUUUGCAAACAAAAUCGCUUUUUUUCGUAUUUUUUUUUUUUUGUUCGCCAAAGAAAAAAAAAAUAAUAAAAUUCCCCGUACAUACCCUCGGACCGCCGAGAGAACCUUUACACUGCGGCGUGAAGACCGAUAGUUCGAACGCGUGCAACAUGGUCGACCUUGCCGUAUGUACAAUACGAGGAUCAUAAUAAUAAUAAUAUACAAGGCUGUUGUGACCCGGGCCGAAAAUCAAACGUUAUUGGCGAACGAUAUUAUGUACGAGCAGCGUAUACCUACACAGCGGCGGGUUUUUUUUUCCCCCGAGUAUGAAAUCGAUUACGGGAGGGGCGCAGGUAAAAAAGGAUAUGCGGUGUUAAUUUAUCUGUCGGCAUCCUGUAAUGGUUUUUUAAUUUUCUUUUUUUUUCUGCUUUCUUGUUUCGCUGCCGCGGAACCUGUCAAAAUAUUAUUGUUAUUAUUGUUUAUGAAACGCGUAAAAUACCGCAGGAAUUUUGUCGCGGAUUAAUGUACGCAUUAUUUAUUUUAUAUAAACGUACAUCGAGUUGACGUGCUAUUAUGGAAAAAAAAAAAAAAAAAACAAUAAUAAAAAUAUUACGUUUACUAUUAUUAUUAUAAUAUGUUAAGUACGUAAUUUUCUUAUACAUAAAUUAUAAUAUAAUAAUACGCGAGUCGGAAAAUCAUUAUAAUAAUAUUUCGCACGGUCUAUAAUAUUUAUAAUAAUAUUAUGUAAAGUACACGGAAUUAAGAUUUUCAAACGAAAUAACGGUGCGUUUUGAAUUUCGAAAAAUAAAUUACGAGUUUUUUUUUUUUUUUUUAUUAUCGUAAAAAUAUAAAUAACGCGGUCGAUUUUCUUUUGAUAUAAUAAUACCUAUAUAUAAUGUAUAAUACGCGCGAUAAUAUUAAUUUCGUUACAAACGUACGAUAAAUCACAUUUUUAUGCGUUGUGUUCGUUCGAAAAGGGCAUCUCGUGCGCCGCUUUUGACUUAUACGCAGUGCACUCGUAUAUUAUUAGGUAUGUAAUAUUAUAUUUGUCACGUGAAAAAAGUUCAACCGUAUUACUGCACGUAUAGGUUGUACGUAAACGAUUAAAAACAGAGAACGAUUUCUCGUGCGCGUAUCGUAAUAACAAUAACGCGUGUUCAGGCAACCCCGAAUAAAUAACUUAGAAAAAGACAAAAAAAAAAAAAAAAAAAAAACCCCUCGACAUUUAUAUGUCAUUUUAAUGGGAGACAUUUACCCGUUUCACUGUAAUAACAAUAUAAGUGUCGUGUCGUACGACAAUAAACGGAUGCGGUGUAUUAGACCUUACGUCGAAUUAUUUAACGGUUAGAUUAGGUAUGUUUAUAAUCACAAAAUAGCAUCUGCUUUCUUUGCAUUCCGUCGGGCCGCGACACGUUCUCUUAUAACACCGUAAUAUAUUGUAACUUUCAUCUAUAAUUUUUUUCAAUUUUUUUUUUUUUUCAAUCGUUUAUCAAUUUGAAAUGGUUUUUUUGUCGGGUACCGUUUUCGGCCCACAAUGAACCUUUUCCUUUUCGGCCAGUAUGUUACUUUUUGCCCACUCCACAAUUUCCUCAUUUCCUUUUGAUGUUCGUGAUGUUUACGAUAAUUAUUAAGAAAAAAACAUGAAAUAAAUUUAAAACAAAAUGGACAAAACAUUAUUGGAUUUGUCUAUUACGUUUUCGUAGAGCACGAUUGAAGUAGACUAAAUAUUUUUCAACCGUGGUAUUCUGAUAGUUAGUAAAAAAUAUUUUGUGAACCGUUAAAACAAUUUUAUUUUUGGUUUUUCAUUGAAAACUAUGGAAAUACAAUUUUUACAAACGUUUUUUUUUUCAUGAAAUCAUAUUUACCUAUAUGAAAUUAAAAUAUUAAAAUACUAAAUUAUUGCCUACAUAGAUACAGAUCUAGAAGUGGUGUUCAUACCUAUCGCCCCUGCAAUCUUACAUUGGUGAGCAAAAUAGUAUACUGGCUAAAAAUGGUUAUUAUGGAAUGGCUGAAAAGUAACACAGGUCGAAAAGGGAAAGGUUCAUUUCAGCCGAAAAGGGUCGCGCCCUUUUGUCGAAUAUGCUUUGAAAAUAUAUCAGACUAUUGCGCUCGAGGUCAAACAAGUCGCCAUGUCUGAAGCGUUUUAAACAUUUAUGUAUAAAACGUCCAAAAAUUCUAUAUUAAAAUAACUAAUAUUACCUAUUGUAACAUUAUUAGAUUCUGAAGAUUGAAGAUAUGCAUAUAGUCCCUGUUCGUUUUUAAAACAUAAAUGAAAAUAAACAGUUUCUAUUAUUUUUGUUUUGAUAAAGAAAUAACUUUUUUUUUUUUAAGGGUUGUUUUUUUUCCUUAAAUAAUUAUUACGAACAAAUUCAAUUAAUACAUAUCGUAAUGUGAUAUUUAUGAUAAAAAAGAAACAUUCACAUUUGGUUACUAUUAUAAACAUGUUUAAAUGAAAAAAAAAUGUUUUUUGGUUUUGAAACUCUGAUUGCAUUGAUUGUAUUAUUUCUGUUAUACAUAUAUCUUUUACAAACUAUAUUCGGCACUUUUAACGGCUCUCUCUGAACCAAGGAGCUAAAACCCGGGAAUAUCAUAGUUGUCUUAUAAGCAAGGGACGAUAAUUUUAUGUAAGCAUAGCAUUAGAAAAUGUGCCCGUUUGAAAGUUUCAAAUUUCACAGGAAAUACCAGGUUGUAAAUUACUCUCCAGACUAAAAGAAAAAAAAAAAUGAAAUGAAAUAUUGUAACGUUGACAAGUCUGCUGGGAGAAAAUUUGACUCUAGUAACGGAGCUCUGCUGUUUACGAGUGGUUUUUUUUUGUCAUUUGUAUCAUCUCUUUUUGUUACCACUUUAAUACUGUGCACGCACACACACACACACAUACACACUACACACAGACACAUAGACCGUAGAGAACUGUAUAUACUGUAUAUAGUUACAAUAACGGAUAAUACAGAUGUGGAAUUGCCUUUGACCAAAUAAAUACUACUUAUAUUGUAGGGGGAGAGAUGUGACGGGGGGCAACAAAAAGUAAAUUACGUAUUUUAAUUACGCGCGCGAGGACUCUUUUGACGGUGAUAUUUCUCUUUUUUCUUCCUCUCUUUUUUCCCGCUUCUGCCGAGGACAAUUCUCUACUAACCUGUCGCACCGACUUAGGUAUAAUAAAUUUCCGUGAUGUAUGGCCGGAACUUCCUCGGUCACGGUCGGAGAAAAGUGUACGGUUAUACCGGAAAAAAAAAAAGAAAAAAGUAUAUUAUACACUUUAUACCGCGCACACACCAAAGGUAAAAGUCACGAGACAUUUAGAUUAAAAAAAAAAAAAAAACAAAUACAUUUACCGGCUGUGGUAAUCAACGUUAUAUUAUUAUAUUUUCUUUUCACUAUAUAUGUAUAAGAAAAAUACAAUUUAAGAAUUUAAGAAUUUCGUCUAGGGAAGUGUAUGAUAUGUGCAUUAUAUUAUACAAGUACCUGUUAUUAUAAUUCAAUAGCGAUUUAAAUAUUUUGAACCUGGUCUAUAAUAAAGGAGUAGGUUUGCCUGCCGGUAAUUUGACCACUGAAUUUCGGAUCUUAUAUUGCGCGUUCGACAAUCGGGAUAAACAUUGCCGGGGAAAAACAUCUCCCGAGGUUGAUACGAGGAAAACAAAUCCCCCGACCUUUAUUUUUCUGUUUUACUCAAUCGACCGUCGAUAUUUAGCUGACUUUGAUAUUAAAAGCGGUCCUUUUGUUUGACACAGAUAAGUUUGAUAGGAAAAGAUUACUUUAGCAAUUUGUAAUAUUUACGCAAAUUUGAUACAGUAAUCUACGAUAGUAGUAAAUAGGUACAAUCGAUUAACGACAUGAUAAUGCAGCUUACAUUUAGCGUUUGAACACUUUGACCUGUUUGAAGCCGGAAUUAUUUCAUUGUUCACCGCAAUCAGGCAUCGGUUAUAACAUCACCGCGUUAACCAUAUCAUAUCAGGCAUAUGACUUAUAUGCCUCAUAAUAAAAAUGUAUCAAAAUAAUAAUAAUUCUUUUUUUUAAUAUAAUAUUAGGUACCAGAAUCGUAUUAGUAAAGUUUUUUAAAUAAAUUACAAUUACAAUUUGGCAAACGAAUAUUAUGAAUAUUAUAAUAUUUUUAUCGAUAAUACCAAAAUUUGGUCACAGUGUUGCGGAUUUUUUUCUUUGGGAUUCCUUAUUUUAUCGGUGCAAUCAAGUGCACCAUAUUUUACUGUCUAAAAUUGUUGCACUUGUAAAUUAUUUUCGUUAUUAUUCCGGUAUAUAACAUCUCAAACUGCUACUUCUUCUCUGUCACCUAUACCUCAGUCGCGUUUCUUAUGAUUAUAAAAAUUGAAAUACAAUAUCAAGAGUAUUAUUUUUUGAUCAACCAUAAAUUAUGAAAGUGUGAAUUCUACAACACGAAAGUCGAAACAAAUGACGUCCCCUUGCGAAAACCUCCAUUACCCGAUAGAAAAAACUAGAUAAGUAAUAUUUCGCGUUCCGAAUAUGGAAGAAUAAUGACAAUUACUUAUUGUUGUUUUUUUACAGUAAUCUGUCGGCUUGUGCGUGACGAUAAAAAGAACUUGAUCGUUUUUAUUGUGUUUAUUACAGCCGUAAUGUAUUUUUCGUUUAGUUCGGUUUAUUGUCACUUAUUCAUACGGUAACGUUUUAAACAACGCGGAAAUGCUAAUGUCCAUGCAUCGGGGGUUCCAUUAUAACGGGAAAGAGCAGACAAUUUCGCAAAGUUGUUAGACCGCGACCAAUGCAAGGCGAGUACAAUUUACACGUAACAAAAAAAAAAAAAAACCCCCGAUAAUUACGUAUUUUCAUAUUUCCACGAAAACCUCGGUAAGUCGAAAAAAUUGCAUUUCCCUUGCAUUCUGACCCGUCGAGUUUCCGCUCGUAAAACGGAACGACACUCGUAUUUCCGUCUUGAAAAUAUCGCCUCGGCAAAUAACAGAUAAAACGAAUUUAGGGGAAGAAAAAAAAACGAAAAACAAGAUGUACGCCCGGCGCAUAAGAAUAUUGAUAAAAACUUUUUUGCGCGAGAGUCAAAUGCACAAUGCACACAAUCAUUAUUCUAUAUUUAUACUGUGAUAAUAACUGGCAUACCAUUGUAAUAUAUAUUAUAACAGUGACGCGCGACCAUAUUAAUACCAGACGCGAAACGUUCGAAACUUUCUCGCGUAUAAAUCGAAAACGUUUCGCGGUUUCUUAUCAGUGCGGGCGCGUCGCGCGCGUUUGUAAAUUUAUACGCGCGGCGGCGAAAUAAUUAAAACCGAUUCCAUUAAAUUACGUGCGGCGACCGCGGCCGCAAUUAUUCACCUCGUCUCUGGUUCGCGCAGAUAUAUUUAUAUCGCAUAAAUAUUCGGCCGGUCGGUCGGCGGCGGCGGCGGUUUUCGCGGCAUCGAAAAACCAAUUUAUUUUCCUUAUAUACGUUUUCUUCCCGCCCGUCGUCGGUUUCGGGUUUUUUUUUUUCUUUUCUGUUUAAUUCACGAACGCACGCAGGAACUAUUUGUCUGCGCGCGACGCGAUAGAGAAAAACAGCGAGGAGCGCGGGAGACGCGGAGAGAGAGAGAGAGAGAGAGAGAGAGAGAGAGGGAGUGAGAGAGUGUGAGAGAGAGUGGUUGGGGCGGGGUGCGUUGAGUCGGGCCGAGAGAAAGACGGACGAACCGAACCCUACCCCUGCCACCCGCGAAACGCUGCGGCCCACGCGGAGGGGCGCACAACAUUUAUCUCUGCCCCGCGAACCGGCCUUAAUGCGUAUUCCAUGCAAAUACUCUACGUCCCCGUACCGCACCGCACACACCCUAUGUAUGUAUAUAUUUAUUGUGUGUGUGCGUGUGUGUGCGUGUGCGUGCGUGUGCGUGUGCGUGCGCGCAUUGUACGCCACCGCACGUUCAUCGGCUGUUACCCCGCGCGCCGCCGAAACCGAUCGGCCGAAACCGACCCCCCCACCCACCCACCCCACGCCGAACCGUCUUUCGCGACGGCCCGGUGACGAGGGGUGUUUCGCGCGCGAUCCGGAGGCAGUAAAUCUCUGUCGAUUCAUUGGUCGGCGGGCAAAAAAAAAAAAAACCCCGAGAGAGAAAUAAUACAGAUGGCGACGCGGUCUGCGAGGGCGCGAGUCCAUCACACACCGUCACGGGCCUCGUCGCCGCCGCCGUACUUUAUCGUCUUAUCGGAAUGCGCUCGUUCGCGUAAUGGUACCGCGUACGAAAUAAUACUGCCGCGGCGGGUUCGUCGGGACGGUUAACGCCCGCCGUCAAUCGUUUUAUCGACCGACCGCGCGUCCGGCGGGUCAAUUAGAAAACCGAAUUAACUUGUUGACUCGAGUCGCGGGUUCUCGGCCGAAGUGCCGAGCCAUACGUGGCGGGGGUUUAUCGCCUCUUUUUGCGCGUCUGUGAAUGUGCGCGCCGCCCCCCCCCCCUCCAUGAAUCGGACGAUUCGUAGCGUUUUCGAUCCGGUCGGCCGGACAUCGAAAUGGGGCGAUUUUGUCGAUUUAACCUGCGAUCUAAUAAUAUCAAUGACAACAUUUAUUUAUUUCCCCCACUAAAGGGUAACAAAUUAAAACACACGAAUAAAAUCACAGUAGUUGGCCACUUCCGAGCCGUUGACCGUGCGUAAGUGGGAGUUCGAAUUUAAAUUAACAAUAAUAAGUUGUGUACGUUAUGCGUGAUACGUGAAAAGCAAUCACAAUAAUUAUUACAAUGUUAUGAAUUUAUAGAUAUAAUAAUAUAGGCGAUACAGUAAUAAAAAAUGACAGUAAAUAUAAAAUAUAUUGGAAUUUUCUUAUUAAACGGGGAAAAAAUUGUACAUUUUUUUUUGUAAAAUUGAUUUCCGGGUCAUCUUUGCUACGAAACUGAAAACAUACGACUGACAAUACUCGGCUCAGAAUCGUUUUUCGUUAGCGACGGUUUAUCGUUGAGUACACGUAUAAAUUAAAUCACUGUAUAUACGUAUCGUCCCUUUAGGAACUUCCUCCCUAAAACAAUGUUACACCCACGAACAUUAUUAGCAUUUGAUUUUUGUGUAAAAUUGUUGUCGUUCAGUACAAAUGAUUGCACCUAUACAGAGCGAUUGUAAAUUUAAUAUCACGUUAAAUUAUCAAAAGAAAUUGCUGAAUCGAAACUCAAUGUUGUAAAAUUCAAAACGAACAAGUUAAUCUAGGUAAACAAAAUAAAUUAAAUUAAUACAAAUUACAUGUUAAAAACUUAGUUUGAAGAUAAAAUCAACUUGAAUUUUAACUUUUUAACUUGUUGAUGUCCCGCAACCUUACGUAUUAAAGAUGUAAUAUUUUUUUUACUCGUACGGCGAACAAGUUAUAACAUUGUAAAUUUGAGAUUGUUUAACAGUUUUUGUGUAUAACGGGAAAAUAAAUUUAUUAAACAGUUUAAUUUCGUAACAAGUUAAACAAUAACAGUUCGGGUUAAAUUAAUAAUUUGUGUUAAUUGUGUUGUAUUUGUAUUAUUUUAAUUUCGUCUCGCAGCAAACGGAACACGUACCUAUAAUAUUAUCUAUAUAGUAAAGUAUGGAAUUUGAACAUUUUUAAAACCUUUCAGAAUAUCCGGACCUCGUGAACCCCGAUUACUACGACAAAUGACAACGCACGAUGUUUUUUCAUUGCGUUUACCGUCUAUUAUUGGACGAUUAAAAAAAUAAUAAUGACACGCUAUUCCGCACCUACACCGUUUAUCAUUUUACGCGAAACAUUCUUCGUCGUCCGAAAGGAAAUUUAGAAUUUGUAGUUAAAUUCUACAAGCGGCGCCGAGGUUUGAUUUACGAGUAUUAAUAUUUUAUAUUUAUUGAAAUAUUCGUGUACAAUAAUUAUUACGAUUUUCAUUCCCAUAUAUUGUAUGUAAACGUACAAGAGUUUUGUUUUCGUACGGGCCGUUAUAAUAUAUUAAUAGUCUUGCACAUAAAAUAUAUAUUUGAUGUACAAAACCGGAAAUUUCUCGUACAUGCAUAUCAUUCGGCGGUAUUUGUGCGUCGAUCCGAAAAAAAAAAAUAUAAAAGAAAGGAAAACGUCGCAAAAGUAAAAUAAUGUCUUCUCCGUGCCGCCUACGAUUUAUUGGGGUAUUAUUUUUUUUUUCUUUUUCUUCUUGCUCGGCCGCCGACGUUAUAAUAUUAUAAUAUUUCUUCGGGCGCGGGCCAAUAGUGACGGCCGAGCCAGGAAAGUACCCGGUUUUUAUUGCGAAGGCCUGUGUGGGCCCUCUUAUACAUAAUAAUAAUAAUAAUAAUAAUAAUAAAAAUCGUCCGUUGCAGACCGUCACGCGUAAAAGCGUUUAAGGAGACGGAGCGAUAAUAUAUAUAUAGACAUUAAAAUAUACAUAUAUAUAGAUAGAUAAAUUUAAGGAAGGACGAAGAAAAAAAAAAAGGGAAGAAAAAAUGCUGUCCGAGAGAGAGGGAGGAAAAAGGAUGGAAAAAUAUUUCGCGAGACGCACAAAUCAUUCUGCGCUGUCUCUUAUACACACACACACACACACACAUACACAUAUAUAUAUAUACGUCGCAUAGCCGUUUUAUUAUGUAUGCAAAUUUUUUCGAAAACACGCACCCCCUUCACCGGGGGCGCCGAGCGUGCCAAAGGCUAUGCGGCUAUAAAUCACCCGGCCGCGUUAUACGUACGUCUCUUGCAGGGACAAAUGUUCCGCACCCCGCGUAUAUAUAUAUAUAAGCGGGAAUAAAAAAAAUAUACAUUUUUCUUUCGGCGAAUAAACCUCGAGUUUAAAAUCGUACGGUGUUUCGCCGUGCCGCACUCGGUUAUAACAUUUCUGUGAUCUAAAAACUAGCCGAGUAUAGCUGAGCGUAUUAGCGUAUUUAUUUUUUAUACGUUCCGUCGAAUUUCGUUCGUUUUCUCACCACUAAUGUGCGAUAGACAUUUGACUGCGCCUACGUAAUAAUAUUAUACAAAACCCAAGCGAGCACUGGAACGGAUUUCACGUGAAAUGCGUACGCGCCCCGCACUGAAUUCAAAUCUGUUUUCAAUAGUCUUAUCGUCAGGUGCACAUACAGUGUACGCCGGUCGGACUGAUUGAAAGUACAUCCGUCUAAAUUGCUACGAGACGAACAAAAAACGUCCUCACCCGAUGACCUUUGUGUGGCCGGCGUGAUUUAAAUGGUUAUUUUUUUUUUUUAUUGGAAAUACGAAUACAUUCUUCGAAUCUCUUUGAAUUCCGUUUAUCGAUAUUUUAAACGCAUACUGUUCCCUUUUAACGUUCAUUUUAAUACCGUCGUAUGAAAUCGAAUGAAAAAUCAGAGUCCAAUGCGGUCUAUACGGGAUGUUGUGGAUAAAUUAUUCAAAAAAAAAAAUGUGUAAGGAAAAUUUUGAUGACCGUGAGAUAUCUGUAAGACGUUCGUUGAAACGUUAAAAAUGAUUUUGUACAAAACCGUAGACGAAUCGCAGGGACAGUGACCGGUGUCACAGUAUUUUAAUACCCACCAUAAAAUAUUAUUACUUCGGCAGGUAUAAAUCGCCUGUAUGAACAAUCGCCGACAGUAACAGGCGAUUUGUACCUCACAUAAUAUAAUUUUACCUCGGUGCGUAUUAAUCGUCAACAUUGGGUAAUGAUUUGUAUUGUAUUGUAUAAUUCACCGAAUACAAAUGAUCGUAUUUUAAAAUAUGUAACUGAUAUAAAAACAAUAAAAUCGUAAAAGAUACGCACAAUGUGAUAUUACCAACGGUCUUGUACUUGACAUUACCAAGUCCGGAACCACUGAUCUGAUUCGCAUGCGGUGUUCAGUAAUUUAUGAAACGUGAACAAUAAUAACAUAACAAUAUUAUUAUUAAUAAAUAAAAACCAUAAAUCUUCUGAAAACAGACUUCUAAAAUUAACCAAAGCAUUUCAGAUUUCCAAUUCCAAUAGGUAUCGGUCGCAUAUUUAAUUGCAACAUUUUAUUCUGUAGGUUCUGUUAUACACGUUGUGCCGCAUAUUUCGUUUAACUUUACCCGUCUUUGGUCGUAUCUCUCAUAUUAUUACCUACACCUGGCGAUACACGCGCGGGGGGGGGGGCGCGAAUCUCCCGUUAUACUGUAGGCGAUAUUUCCUACGGACGAUUCGCAGCCGGCCGGGCGGUAACGCGUGACGCGGGGUACGGAUCGCCCGUUACGCCGGUACUCGGGCCGCCGAAGUGGAGGACGCGAUAUCGAAACACGGUCGCCGUUUCGGUCCGAAUUAAUCCGUAAAGCGUUGGUGUGUUUUUUUUUUUAUUAAUUAUUUUCAAAUGGCUGCCGCAGUUACACUCUGCCGCGCACAAGGAUAUUUCCCGGAAAAGCGUACCCGACAACGGGCGCCACUGUUCGAAAUGUCAUCGUUACAGACUGCGAUUUCGGCCCGUAAACGGCGCGAGCGUUCCAAUUCAAACGGUGUCGCGCGGAUCGCGUCGCCGGCGGACACGCGGCCGGCCCGAGACGGUUCGGGACGCGGUCCGAGGUUAAAACGGCGUAACGUAUUUUAGCGGGUACCCGCCGCGUGCGUGUUUACGCCCGCGCGUAUUGCGUAUUUGUUUUGUUUUUUUUUUUCUUUUACUUAUCGCGCCGCCGCUCGUAUUAUUAUUAUUGUCGUGUCGAAGGCUCUCCGGUCCGUACGCAUUCCGUACGGUAAUAUUUUAUUAUCGUUUACCGUAUUCUCCGCGUUGCUAAACGUCUCUGUCGACGACGGCUCGCGCACAAACAAUAUAAUAACGAGAUAAUAACGAUAAUAAUUACGAUUAAGUCGUCAACAACUCGUCAACCGCGCGCGCCGACGGCGACGACCGUUUCCCCCCCCCUUCGUCUUUUUCUCCUCUCUCGCGCCUUUAAAGGGAAUCCGGCGCGGCGUAUUGCGAAAAACGGAAAAAAAAAAAAACCCAAGAUUACGGGGUCGGGGGGAAUCGCGCGAUUUCGACGGACGACGACAAUAAAAACCGGGGUGUGUCCGAAUCGGUUCCCGUUUAAACACGCACGUUUCCCUUUCCGUUGUCACGGGCUCGGGACCGUCGACUCAUGAGAAUUACUUAGAUUUCAUACCGCAGAAACGUGUCCGUAUUCCAUAUCCGGUAUAUUAUACGUACACGAUAGCUACGCACAGAUACGUGUAUCCAGACGGAUUGACGGACGGAUCUCGAUCGACUGCGGUAUACACGCCGAUACGACGUUCAUUUACCACACCGAUAACUGCGUUUGUCGUUUGAAUGCGUAUCGUGGGCACAAAAACGGGAACGAAUUCGGCUCGCCUCCGUAACAAGUACCUCAUUCGAACGGGAACCGAUCCCGGGGUAUGAACCCGGCAAUCGAUUCGGGGGGCGUAAAUCAUUUUUGGCGCAUCACUAUUAUUGUUUUCGAUAUUUUCCGUAAGACAUUUGCUGCGCAUCAUAAACGCUCAACAACAGAGCGCCGAAAGGGAUUAGGAUUACCCAAAACCACAAAUUGUUUCCUAACUUUCCGCCCAAUUUUCAGUGUCAAUAAUUUUUGUAGAUAUGUAUUGAAUACCAGAGCUUAAAAUUCAAAUAUAGGUGUUAUAAGACGUACGCGAGGUAUAAGGUAUUUCCGUUUUAAAAAUAUGCGUUGUACAAUACGCACAUAAAAACAUUGGUACGUGUAUAACAAAGGACAAAUAAACAGAUUUCGUUUCAUACAAAUAACGGGUCAUUAUGACACGCCCCAAACGACAUAAUUCGACUAUUAUAUUGUAUAGGUCAGGUUAGACUGAGACGAUUAAGACGAUUUUCCGUUUCAAUAAAUCGCACGGAACUUUGCACUUUUCGAUAUUUUCGUAUCGCGUAUUUAUUUUUAUUUUUUUUUUUGUCACCUACUCAUUGUAAACGGACGGCGCGCGAAUGACUGCCGCGAUUCGGAUACGUCCGAUAAACGACGUCGUAACGGACCGCCGCCGGCCGAACGACGCGAAACACCACGUGUCGGCGGGGAUAAUACGGAAUUUCGCCGGAAUCUAACGGUCCGGGGGCCCUUUGUCCGUGCGUUCGCGUGCGCUAUACGCGCGUGUAAUCUAAUGACGGUACGCUCUGUACGGAAAAGAAAACCGCGACAAUGCCUCUCAUGGUCUUAAUACCGACCCGCGGACGACCCCCGAGCCGACGCCCGCCGAGGCCGGGCGUACCGUUAUAAUAAUAUUAUCUCACCGUUACGGGUACUGUUAAAUUCGUAUUUUUACGGCGACCUAAUGUGUGAAUCGGCCGUCGUGACAUAAAUGCAUAAAAGGGACCGGACGUUGAUCGCGCCGACAUUUAAACUGGUUUAUUUUUUUUGUAUACAUAUAUAUAUAUAUAUAUAUAUAUAUAUGUGCGCCAUAAUAACGUUAUCUUUUUCUUCUAGUGGCGGAUUGAAAUUUAUCAUAGUGGAUUUCGAAUUCACUAUGAUAGAUAAUGUGGAUCCAUUAUUAACGUCAGGCGCUAUAGCAGCUAUAGCAGUUUAGACGAAUAUCAGCCAGUCAAACUCCAGGACGGCGAGCGUUUAAGCGGCAGCACAGCUGGAAGAUUGUAAAAAAUGUAAAAAGUAUCCAUCAGGAAAAGCCAGAAGUAGCGGAGUCCUUUCUGGAGCAGUUUUAUACAAGUCUGGGGGUUCGGGAGUCAAAUUUGACUUCCGUAUAUUUAAACCGGUACCUAAACACAGAUGAUCGGGCACCGAUUAUAGUAUUUUGGGCGGAAACCACGGAUAAAGUCAUAUUCGAGAGAUUAUGGGUGCCAAAUGUAAAGGCAUACUUUAACGUAAUCAACUACAGGGUGGCCAACGCCUAUAAUUUCAACCUAAAGUUAGUGAACGUGCGCACUAAGCAGGAAGUUAUAUUUUCAGUAGACAUUGGGUACCGUGAAAAAAACCGGUAAAAUAUUAAAUUUAAAUGAAACCCACGACGUAGUGUGCAAACAGCCUUUUUCUUUGGUGGGGAGGUGUCACGGACUCUGUUCUUCACGUGUGUAAAUUCGUUAAACACAAAUCAAUAUUUCAACGCGACUAAAUAUGUGAAAUGGACCGUCGCAAAUCGAAGACGUUCCCACGGAACAACGUAUGAUACGCGUCGAUGGGACAAAUGGAAAACGUGUCCGGGUGCGGACAACGCGGCACCGGAAGACGACGACGGCGGCGUCCGUCACCGCCUAGGUCCCGACCAAAGCGUCAAUCGUGUAUAAGACGACCCGGAGGACCGCAAUGGGAGUUCGGUUGGAAGUCGGGAGUCUGCGCUGCCAACCGACGCGCGAUGGGGAGGAGCACCGUUGCCUCGACGACGACCCGCCGUUCAGUCAUUUCUCUAGUUGUGUACUUGUGGCUGAUAAAUACAACUAUAAGUGUUGACCCGGGUCUGGCGUCGCGACGACACCGCUUAUAAUUAUUAUCAAUUGUCAACCGAGUUUAUUUAAAAUAUUAAUAAGGACUUCAUUUACAGACUUAAAAACACUUGUCCAUUUUCCCGUCCGAAGGCUGCGUCUGAACGGC
rnacentral:lncRNA from 1 species